CUCGUCCACACAGGUAGCUGGGAGGUGGCGUGGCACAGAAGGAGACUGGCAGGACGUGGCAAGAUGGCAGUAUGUCGGGGCAGGAUUGCUGUUGCCCCGAGAGUGUUCACGAAAGUGGUUGCAGAAAUGGCAGCUCACAUCCGAGAGGGAGAUGGGAUUUUCGAACCUAGACGACUUCCUUCUAGUAGCAAAGUCGGAGGAAAAGGGAGUAAGCCAAUCACUUACUGUGGAUUUUCUACACAUUAGUCGAUCCAGACUAGUGUCCGGUCCUGAUAUUAUCUGUCCAGCUCCGGCUCAGCUGACGUCACACCCCAUCUACACGAGGCAAGUUCCAUCUACCCAGCGUGCGGUCUCCGGCUUCUUCUAAGUCCAGCGGUGAGGAAACCAACAUCAUAAGUGCCUGCCAGCGCACGGUCUCCUGGCAAAUU